UACAGAGGUCUCAAGCGUUGUUCGGAUUCAUUGGGCGUAAAGGGUGCGUAGGCGGCGCGGUAAGUCGGGCGUGAAAUCUCGGAGCUUAACUCCGAAACUGCAUUCGAUACUGCCGUGCUUGAGGACUGGAGAGGAGACUGGAAUUUACGGUGUAGCGGUGAAAUGCGCAGAUAUCAGGAAGAACACCCGUGGCGAAGGCGGCUUUCUGGGACGGUACUGACGCUGAGACGCGAAAGCGUGGGGAGCGAACAGG
rnacentral:rRNA from 1 species